rnacentral:rRNA from 1 species
GAUGAACGCUGGCGGCGUGCCUAAUACAUGCAAGUCGAGCGAACGGACGAGAAGCUUGCUUUUCUGAUGUUAGCGGCGGACGGGUGAGUAACACGUGGAUAACCUACCUAUAAGACUGGGAUAACUUCGGGAAACCGGAGCUAAUACCGGAUAAUAUUUUGAACCGCAUGGUUCAAAAGUGAAAGACGGUCUUGCUGUCACUUAUAGAUGGAUCCGCGCUGCAUUAGCUAGUUGGUAAGGUAACGGCUUACCAAGGCAACGAUGCAUAGCCGACCUGAGAGGGUGAUCGGCCACACUGGAACUGAGACACGGUCCCGACUCCUAAGGGAGGCAGCCGUAGGGAAUUUUCCGCAAUGGGCGGAAGCCUGACGGAGCAACGCCGCGUGAUUGAUGAAGGUUUUCGGAUCGUAAAACUCUGUUAUUAGGGAAGAACAUAUGUGUAAGUAACUGUUCACAUCUUGACGGUACCUAAUCAGAAAGCCACGGCUAACUACGUG